CUCAGAACGAACGUUAGCGGCGCGCCUAACACAUGCAAGUCGCACGAGAAAGGGCUUCGGCCCCGGUACAGUGGCGCACGGGUGAGUAACACGUAGAUAAUCUUCCCUCGGGUGGUGGAUAACUCUCCGAAAGGAGAGCUAAUACAGCAUGAGACCACGGCUCCCCUGGAGCUGCGGCCAAAGCAGGCCUCUAUACAUAAGCUUGCGCCUGAGGAUGAGUCUGCGGCCCAUCAGCUAGUUGGUAGGGUAAUGGCCUACCAAGGCUAAGACGGGUAGCUGGUCUGAGAGGAUGAACAGCCACACUGGAACUGAGACACGGUCCAGACUCCUACGGGAGGCAGCAGUGGGAAUCUUGCGCAAUGGGCGAAAGCCUGACGCAGCGACGCCGCGUGAGCGAUGAAGGCCUUCGGGUUGUAAAGCUCUGUGGGGAGGAAAGAAUAAGGGUUGGCUAAUAUCCAACUUGAUGACGGUACCUCCUUAGCAAGCACCGGCUAACUCUGUGCCAGCAGCCGCGGUAAGACAGAGGGUGCAAACGUUGUUCGGAAUUACUGGGCGUAAAGCGCGUGUAGGCGGCUCUGUAAGUCGGAUGUGAAAUCCCACGGCUCAACCAUGGAAGUGCAUUCGAAACUACAGGGCUAGAGUUCUGGAGAGGAAGGUGGAAUGCUUGGUGUAGAGGUGAAAUUCGUAGAUAUCAAGCGGAACACCGGUGGCGAAGGCGGCCUUCUGGACAGUAACUGACGCUGAGACGCGAAAGCGUGGGGAGCAAACAGGAUUAGAUACCCUGGUAGUCCACGCCGUAAACGAUGAGUGCUAGGUGUCACGGGCUUUGACCCUCGUGGUGCCGAAGCUAACGCGUUAAGCACUCCGCCUGGGGAGUACGGUCGCAAGACUAAAACUCAAAGAAAUUGACGGGGGCCCGCACAAGCGGUGGAGCAUGUUGUUUAAUUCGACGCAACGCGAAGAACCUUACCUGGGCUAGAAAGUACAGGAAGUCGGUCGAAAGGUCGAUGUGCCCUUCGGGGAACCUGUGGUUAGGUGCUGCAUGGCUGUCGUCAGCUCGUGCCGUGAGAUGUUGGGUUAAGUCCCGCAACGAGCGCAACCCCUGUUGUUAGUUGCCAGCAUUAAGUUGGGCACUCUAACAAGACUGCCGACCUUUAAGUCGGAGGAAGGUGGGGAUGACGUCAAGUCAUCAUGGCCCUUAUGUCCAGGGCUACAAACGUGCUACAAUGGUCGAUACAAAGGGUUGCGAACCCGCGAGGGGAAGCCAAUCUCAAAAAGUCGACCUCAGUACAGAUAGGAGUCUGCAACUCGACUCCUUGAAGUCGGAAUCGCUAGUAAUCGCUGAUCAGCAUGGCAGCGGUGAAUACG
rnacentral:rRNA from 1 species